rnacentral:misc_RNA from 1 species
AGAUUACGAGUUAACAGUCUACGACAAAACAGAUAUUGAAAACAAAUCAAUAUCAGGUGGCGAGUCAAGGAAGUCAUCAAAGAUAUUGCUAUUACAAUUUAGAACCACCAAAUUUUGCACCUGCCGACACUUUCCCAAGCCUUGGCUUUGGUUUUAAGCUCCCUGUCCGAACCUAGUAACCAUUUUACUUCUCUUUCUCCAAAAAGUAACAUGCAUGGCUAAGCUUACUGGAUACUGGUUCUUGACAAGGAAAAGUGUCAUCAGCAACACUUGCUUGAAGCAGAAAGAGAGAGAGAAAACUGAAUUUGCGGCUUUUGGUGGUGUCUUUUGUCAUUUUAUAGGCAGUUCAUCUACAAUUUUCUCUUUCAAGUACUUUCUUUGGAGUUUCUGUUGAGUCCGGAUUACUGUCAUUCUUGGUCUUGGUUGGGUGCUUAAUUUUUUUUUAUAUUUGGAUGGUCACAACUGUCUUCCUUUUUCUUGAUACUUCAUAAUUUGUUUUCUGGUACUGGUUUUCUUUUCUGUGAGGAUACUUGAGGUGAGAAUUCUGUAUUUUUUGAAGCUUUUUAGUUCAGGAAACUGUUUUGAUUUCUAACGCUUCUAGCCUAUUGUAAUCCUUCUAGCUUACACAAGCCAAUUUCUAUCAGUUUUAUAGUACUGAAUUUUAUUGUUAUGAGUUCUUUGACACUUAGCUGUAAGCCAUAGUGUUUUCCCUCUUAAAUGAUUUCUGGGUGUCAACGAGUUGUUUAUGAUCUGCGGAUAUUUGUGUUUUUGUAGAAUUGAGUGAAAGCAUAUCAAACUAGAUUUUAUAGCUAUACUUUAGGCCUUCCGAUUGCUUCUUUACAAUGCUUUCCAGUAAAUCUGAAUCUGAUAUCACAAGUUUAGCCCCAUCAUCACCGUCAAGGUCUCCAAAACGCCCUCUAUAUUAUGUACAGAGCCCUUCAAGGGAUUCACAUGAUGGGGACAAGUCCUCUUCAAUGCAACCAAGUCCAAUGGAGUCACCUUCACACCCCUCCUUUGGUCGUCACUCGAGGAAUUCAUCGUCUAGUAGGUUUUCCGGGAUAUUCAGAUCCUUUUCAGGGAGGAAAGGUAGCAGGAAAAGAAACGAUAAAGGCUGGAAUGAUAAAGGUUGGCCUGAAUGUAAUGUGAUCAUGGAAGAAGGGGACUAUGAUGAGGAUAAAGCAUUUACUAGGCGGUUUCAGGCCUUGAUUGCUUUGUGUAGUUUUAUAAUCUUGUUUACUGUUUUUUGCUUGAUUAUAUGGGGCGCUAGCCGGCCUUUCAAAGCAGAGAUUACUGUCAAGGUAUAAGCCUUUUUUUUUUUCAGUUUCUCAUGAUAUUUCUUCAAUAUCAUUAGACUAAUGUUUGAAGAUAUUUGAAUAAUGAUUGUGGAUAAGAGGGUGAGGUCUAGUACAAUGGCAUCGUUGUUCUUUUAUGAGUGUAAGGUCAUGAAUUUGAGUUGUGAAAAUAGUCUGUGUAACAUAUAAAAGGAAAGCUAUGUAGGAUAAAUGACCCUUUCCUCCUCUGAUCCUGGCAAAGCCAUGAGUUUCGCGCGUUUUUUAGUAUGGAUAAGAUAAAAAUAGAGGUAAACUAACGCUGCUUUACCAUUUUUGAACUGCAAUAUAAGCCCUUUGUUAAUGAUUUUGAAGUUGUGUUAUGGUCGUGAAAGAAUGGUUAACUUUGCAAUAAUUUGCUUCUUUUUAAUGUGUUUUUGGGGUUUUGUCUGUCCAGCUGAAGUGGGACAAAAAAACAAAGGAAAUGAAUGGUUUUGUGGGGUAAAAUGCUUUAUAAAGCAAACUUGAUAUUUACUUUGAGCACCAUUCAAUUGCUUAUCAUAAAAUUCUACUUUUUGUUUCAUUUGCUUGUCAUAAAAAUCCAAGUUGAGUUUGAAUGGAUGAUUCAAUAGUUAGCUAUUUGAUAUGUUCAGUUUUUUUGUGCUUUAAGAAGAUUUUGAGGCAGUUUUUUAAAGCAAUAAGAGAUUUUUAUGGUGAACAGUCAUCAAAUGGAAGGGAGUCAUUGUGCAUUGAGACCUCUUAAUGUUCUUCUGAAACUUGGAUCAUCUCAAACACCUCAUGUAGAAGAUCAAUCUUACUGUUAUAUUAUGUGUGUCAAUCACAAAUUGAUCAUUCUAAUAUUUUCUGUGUUGAAUGCCAUUGCUAAUGGGAAAUGUGACACUUGCAGAGCUUUUCAGUAAGUAAUUUUUAUGUUGGGGAAGGUUCAGACUUCUCUGGUGUUCCAACGAAGAUGCUUACAGUGAAUGGCUCAUUGAGAAUGAGCAUACACAAUCCUGCAACAAUAUUUGGCAUUCAUGUUAGCUCCACACCAAUCAAUCUCAUAUACUCAGAAAUCCCUGUUGCAACUGGUCAGGUAACAAUUCUUUCCAUAGUCAUACGUUCCAACAGGUUGUGAUAUAGAAAAACCAAUCCAAUUUAGUAAAGGAUGGUGGGUCUUUUGGAUUCUAAUUAGACCCUUCAGAGCAAAGAGAUAUCUGGUAUGCACUUUAAGCUGUAAUUGUAUGGCUGUAUCUCUUUUGUUCCUGAUAAACUUUUGGAUUCUGAUUAGACCCUUCAGAGCAAAAAGGCAUCUAGUAUGCAAUUUAAGCUUUUAUUUGUAAUGGUAGUAUCUCUUUUGUACCUGACAAAAAUUUCAAGGUUAAGUCAAGAACUUGAGAUGUUUUCUGUUAGAAGUAUGAAAUUUUCUCCAUUAUCUGCUUUUCUUGGCCUUUUUGGGCAUGUCAAGCAAUGCUAAUUCUUAUCUAAUAUUGCAGUUGAAGAAAUACUAUCAACCUAGAAAGAGUCGACGAACAGUAUCAGUGAUUGUGGAAGGGGAUAAGGUUCCACUGUAUGGAGCUGGAUCAAGUUUAACAGUUUCACAAACUGGCAUUGUAGUUCCAUUGACACUGAAAUUCGAAAUCCGGUCUCGAGGGAAUGUAGUGGGGAAGCUAGUGAGGACGAAGCAUCGAAAGCUAAUCUCUUGCCCUGUGGUUCUUGAUUCCACUAGCUCCAAACCCAUCAAAUUCAAGAAGGGUACAUGCACAUAUGAUUGAUCUGCUAUCUGAAGAGUUAAACCUAUGAUUCAUGUCCUUGUGGGCAUUACAGCUCAUCCACAGCAGUUUGAGACUGAGUUGCUGAGCUUCACAGAAGACAUCAGUAGCACUUGAAGAAAAUGCAGCUACUUGAACUUCCUUCUCUCUUUGUUUUAUAUUGUGGUCCUGGUAAUGUGAGAAAUAAGUGUUUUAUCGUUCGUAUUAGUGGCUAUGUGCAUAAUGUAUGUAUGAUUAAUGUUGUUGAGAGGUUUUGUACACCAUAAGAAAUAGUGUGACAAUGUCGUUAUUUGUUUUCUAAAAUUUAAUAUCAUGCAAGGGUGAUAUAGAAGAAAAAUAAAAUCCCAAUCCAAAUAAGGGAAAAUAGUAUUCAAAGAACAUGGUACUUUUUGCUGUAACUGCAAUAUUGGAUUACCCAAUGCUAAACGUUUAAGAUGUAGUUCAAAUUUCAUUUUUUAACCAUAGUUUGUUAGAUUUAGAUGGUAUUUGUCGUAACUUACUCAUAUUAGAGUCUGCAAUAUAAGUUUGUUCUC